CCUACGGGUGGCAGCAGUGGGGAAUAUUGCACAAUGGGGGAAACCCUGAUGCAGCGACGCCGCGUGAGUGAAGAAGUAUUUCGGUAUGUAAAGCUCUAUCAGCAGGGAAGAAAAUGACGGUACCUGAUUAAGAAGCCCCGGCUAACUACGUGCCAGCAGCCGCGGUAAUACGUAGGGGGCAAGCGUUAUCCGGAUUUACUGGGUGUAAAGGGAGCGUAGACGGCAGCGCAAGUCUGAUGUGAAAUACCGGGGCUCAACCCCGGGGCUGCAUUGGAAACUGGCAGGCUGGAGUGCCGGAGAGGCAGGCGGAAUUCCUAGUGUAGCGGUGAAAUGCGUAGAUAUUAGGAGGAACACCAGUGGCGAAGGCGGCCUGCUGGACGGUGACUGACGCUGAGGCUCGAAAGCGUGGGGAGCAAACAGGAUUAGAUACCCGAGUAGUC
rnacentral:rRNA from 1 species